UCCGUGGUGGCUCAGAUGGUAAAGAAUCUGCCUGCAAUGCAGGAGAUCCAGGUUCAAUCCCUGGGUUGGGAA
rnacentral:tRNA from 1 species